GGUAGUGUAGCAAGACUGCGGCAGGUUGUAGCCCUGAUGACGGAGAACAUCUCCCGCUACCA
rnacentral:tRNA from 1 species